rnacentral:rRNA from 1 species
UUGACCUCGGAUCAGGUAGGAUUACCCGCUGAACUUAG